GACGAACGCUGGCGGCGUGCCUAAUACAUGCAAGUUGAGCGAUGAAGAUUGGUGCUUGCACCAAUUUGAAGAGCAGCGAACGGGUGAGUAACGCGUGGGGAAUCUGCCUUUGAGCGGGGGACAACAUUUGGAAACGAAUGCUAAUACCGCAUAACAACUUUAAACAUAAGUUUUAAGUUUGAAAGAUGCAAUUGCAUCACUCAAAGAUGAUCCCGCGUUGUAUUAGCUAGUUGGUGAGGUAAAGGCUCACCAAGGCGAUGAUACAUAGCCGACCUGAGAGGGUGAUCGGCCACAUUGGGACUGAGACACGGCCCAAACUACUACGGGAGGCAGCAGUAGGGAAUCUUCGGCAAUGGACGAAAGUCUGACCGAGCAACGCCGCGUGAGUGAAGAAGGUUUUCGGAUCGUAAAACUCUGUUGGUAGAGAAGAACGUUGGUGAGAGUGGAAAGCUCAUCAAGUGACGGUAACUACCCAGAAAGGGACGGCUAACUACGUG
rnacentral:rRNA from 1 species